AUGAAGUUUUAUCCUAGCCCCAGAAAUCAAAUUGUUGCUACACCCAUUAAUCCUAUCAUGAGUAUGCCAAGUUCGGUGGUGACGCCGAACCAAACCCUACCUACAAGAGCAAACACUGUUAGAUCACUGCCGAAUUACAAUUUGGCAUACAUGCCACAAUUCACACUUGCAACUACUAACCCUACUCCUCCUAUGCUACUACCACAAGCUUCAUCGUCCACUGUGGAUGAUGGUCUAGCUAAUCUUAGAGGGGAGAUGGCUAAGAUGCUCCGAGAGAAUUUUGGAGUUGAGUUACCAAGGAACCACAUUUACCAAAAGCCAUAUCCAGAAUACUUUGAUGCAAUUCAAUGCCCUCUAGGAUAUAAAAUUCCAGAUUUUGUUAAGUUUAAUGGAGAGGGCACAAAAACUACCUGGGAGCAUGUUAGUCAGUACUUGGCACAAUUAGGUGAGGCAAGUUCACGAGAUGAGUGGAGAGUACGUUAUUUUCCUUUAUCUUUAACCGGUACUGCUUUCUCGUGGUUUUCUACUUUACCACCUGGUUCUAUUACUACAUGGUUUCACUUAGAACAAAAUUUUCAUGAUCAUUUUUAUAGUGGUGAUAAUGAGCUUAAGUUGUCACAUCUUACAUCGGUUAGACAAAAGCAUGAUGAAUCGGUCUCCGAUUACGUCAAGAGAUUUAGAGAUACAAAAAACCGGUGCUAUAGUUUGGCGAUAACCAAGAGAGAUUUGGCUGAUCUUGUGCUUAGUGGUUUGAGAACUCACAUUAGAGAAAGGCUAGAAGGACAUGAGUUUUUAAAUAUCAACCAAGUCUUGUAA
rnacentral:rRNA from 1 species